CUUUGUCCGUGAUUAUAUCGGUUUUCAAUGACUCAAUUUGGCGAGCCAGGCAGGAGAAGGUUCUGCUCGGCUGUGAGACCAGCUCGGGUGGAGGUCCCCCUCAGGGCACCCACGGGAUAUUCCUGGAAGAGGGGCUCCACUGCCCGACCUGUUCAUCCAGCAGCAGACAAGAACUCCUGACUACUAAAACUCCGGACAAAAAGGUAUGUUUAUACUUGAAAAAUAGGUACCUUUUUGGUAUAGGCAGUUGGUAAGACACUGAGAGACAUCUCGUGCACAACGCAUGCCUAAGUUGUGACAGCUCUGCAGAGUCUGGUUUGGCUUGGUUUGGUUUGGUAACCUGUGUCCCGUGGUGGGGAGCGGCAGUCGGUUUUUGUUGUGCCUUGAUAAUCUGUGUCCCAUGGUGGGGGCAACAGUGGCAGUAGGACAACCCGUUCUGUUGUCAGUUUGUGGUUUAAAGGUACCUUGGUCAUCCAUAAUUCGAGAGGCUAGCCUGAGUUUUGGGACGUGAAGGGUCCCAUCAUAGGUCGCAGAAAAUCCUGAUUGCGGCUCCGCGCGCGCCAGGUGUGUGUGUAGUGUGCACAGAUUUGUGUUUUGUGGGUUUGCGUGUCUAGGCUGUGGAAGAAUUAUUGGUGCAUGUGUUUGUUGUGUUUUGUAAGAGUCUGUCUUGUAAGUGAUUUGACCUGGAAGGCGUACGCAUGGUCAGGAAAGGCUGUUGGUAAAACGUGGGAGACGUUCCACAUGCAACUUGUGCCUCUGCAGUGUGCUUGCAAGCUGGAUUGGUUUCUGGUCAGUUGUACCUGGUUGCCAGCAGAGAAAGCUGUUAAACUGUUGUACCAGGCCAUGGAGGGCUCGGAUUGUUGUUGCUGGCAGAAGGGGAUUUUGCCAUUUGCUGUGCCAUAGAGGGCUCAGUUUGCUAGAAUCCGGGACUAGCAAUUGUAAGGGCAAAUCCUGAUUUGUGGUUGUUACACUGUGUGAAUGUGUCCUGACUGUGAGAAAGAUUGUGAGAGAGUUUGUUGAGACAUGCUACCAGCACGAAGUGAUUGAGGAGUUUGGACCCGCAGUUCCGUUUGCGGGCGACUGAAAUGGCCGGGGGAAAACAAAGUGAGUGGGGUGUAUGAAAACCCUUAAAGCCCCCUCCCUGCUGUGACUGUGGUGUGUGUGUUUUGGUUAUUCACUGUAACUGUAUUUUUGAGGCAACAUCCAUCUUGUGUUAAAAGUUUUAAGUGCAGCGUAUGCUGAGUGAAAGAGUUGAUUAGCCUCUGAGAGCUGAGUUGUGAAUGUUUUAGAAGUAGAUUGAGGACAGACAAAGGCAGGACCAGUUUGCCACGAAGUAAUAGAAACCCUUGACAAGAGCUUAGUUGUGAUUUUAGGUAUGGAGACUGUGUUUGUAGAUUGUUGGAAUUAAAAUAAGGAUAACUUCGGUCUGAAAACUCGAUCUGACCAGAGGAAUAAAAGGAAUUCCUUUACCUAAGUGGUUUGGGCUUGACUUGUAGGAGUUUGUGAAUUCAGCAAACUGGUAGAUAGACAGAGGAAAUAAGAGAAUGUAUUUAGAAGGUUUAUAUCAGAUGUCUGUUGGAAGACUAGUGGCUCUGGAUUAGGAGCAACAGGCUGUGGAGAAUUUAGAAAGUCAAGAAGAAGUGAAUGGAAUAGCUUGUAUUUUUGGGAAUUUUCCUGCAGCUUUUGGUGCAUCUAGAGGUUGUCACUGUGCCUGGGUGCUUUUGCAGUGUAAAAUUUGUGCAGGAUGUUACUAUUGUUCUUCUGCUAAUGGGUACAGAGAAUGUGCCCAGUGUAAACAACAGCUCCUUGAUCAAGCUGAUUUAGAGCAAAGAUUUUAACAAAUUAAGUAAAACAAUUUUUGUUUCAACUUUAGCUCCAGCUUUAACUCCAACUCCAUCUUUAACCAAAGCAAUUUUUAUUUUAACUCCAUUUCUAUCCCCCUACUCUGACUACUCCACUUACUCUUAAAUCUCUCCCACUGCCCAGCAGUGACAGUGAGGAAGAGGAGCCCUUUCCAAAGGUUCCUACAGCAUAACGGACUCAGAAACAAACCAAAGAAGAGAACAUCACAACGGGGAGGCAGUGGUUGCUCAUGUUAAGAAAAACUGAGAUGGACCGGAGGAUCUUACCCUAGGAGACCCUCUAGUUAUAAUGAAACUAGGGAACAAAGAAAAAAAAUGAAGUUUUUGAUAAACACAGGGGCAACAUAUUCAGUGUUAAAUAAAGCUUUAAUACCAAUAACAGAUGAUUAUGUUAUGGUAAAUGGGGUAACUGGCCAAUCUGAAAAAGCCUAUUUUUGUAGGCCAUUGAAAUAUAAACUUGGGAAACAAUGGGGAAUUUACAGGUUUUUAUAUAUGCCCAAUGCUCCAUCAGCACUUUUGGGUAAGGAUCUAUUGGAAUUAUUAGAGGUAAAAAAAAAAAAAUUAUUUAAAAAUUGAGAGAUUACUUUGGAGGUUGAGGACCCACAAUAUGUGGAAUUGUUAAGCUUGAUGUAGAUAACUAAUGAGGCUAAAGUUAAAAGUGAAGGUGAGAUUUACAGGAAAAUAGAUCAGGUAUUUUUUGGGGUUUGAGCUUCUAACAUACCAGGAGAGCAAAGAAUGCACCCCCAGUGCAAGUUACGUAAAAAAACAAAACAAAACAAACAAACAAACAAAAAAAAAAACCCCAAACCAAGAACUAGUCAGAGUUAACCAAUACCCCCUGAAGAAAAGUUAAGGGAUUAGCCCAGUGAUUGAAAUUUCUUCCUGUUAAAAAGCCUGAUGUAUCAUAGCUUUUAAUAGGAUAACUGAGGAUUUAUACCCACUGCUUCCCAACCCUUACACUUUGUUAGCUUGUUUAACACCUGAAUUAACAUGGUUUAUUGUUUUAGAUUUAAAGGAUGCUUUCUUUUGCCUUCCUCUCCAUGAAGACAGCCAAAAAAAUUUUUGUAUUUGAAUAAAAAAAACUUAGCUCACAUGGACAGUGCUUCUGCAGGAGUUCAAAAAAAAAUUGCCCACCUUGAUUGGAGAACAACUAGCAAAAGAUCUGGAAUCCUGGGAAGCUCCAUCAGGAGAAGGACAGCUGUUACAGUAUGUGGACAACCUCCUGAUAGCUACCAAAACUCAAGAGGCAUGUCUGGAGUGGAUGGUAAACCUCCAAAACUUUUUGGGCCUACAGGGGUAUUGCAUAUCCCAAGAGAAAGCCCAGAUGGUGAAGCAAACAGUUAUUUAUUUGGGCUACGAGGUUAGUACUGGACCAAGAACCUUAGGACAGGAUCACAAGGAAGCAAUAUGCCAGACCCCAAAACUCCAGAUAGUAAAAGAACUGAGAACUUUUCUAGGCGUGACAGGGUGGUGCAGACUGUGGAUUUAUAACUGUGGGUUGUUUGUUAAACCUCUGUAUGCCUUGAUCACAGAAGGGAGCAGGGAUCUCCAAAAGAAACAACACAAGCCUUCAACCAGCUAAAGAAGGCCCUCAUGUCAGCUCCAGCCCUGGAAAUUCCAGAUGUGAGUAAACCAUUCUUUUUGUUUUCAUCCGAGAAGCAGGGUAUUGUCUUGGGAAUACUAGCACAAAACCUGGGCCUGUAUUGCAGGGCAGUCGCCUAAGCAGCUGCAUGCAGCAGCUAAGGGAUGGCCAGGGUGCCUCAGAGCCAUUGCAACAGUGGCAGUGAACAUCCAAGAAGCACGCAAGUUCACCCUAGGCCAGAAGAUGACCGUGCCAGUAUCCCACACAGUGUCUGCAGUCCUAAAAGUGAAAGGGGUACAUUGGCCCUCCCCACAGAGAUUCCUGAAGUACCAAGCCAUACUGGUAGAACAAGAUGAUGUUGAGAUUGUGGUAACUAACAUUGUGAAUCCAGCUUCCUUCCUCAGCGGGAGUAUGGGAGAACCAGUGAUCCAUGACUGCCUGGAGGCCAUCAAAGCCACCUACUCCAGUUGCCCGGAUCUGAAGGAUACCCUGCUUGAGAAUACUGAGACCUGGUCCACCGAUGGAAGCAGCUAUGUAAUCAGUGGAAGUCUUUUGCAGAAAAACUUUGGAACCACGGUGGGAGGGACCAUUCCAAGUGCUCCUCAUCAUCUUUAAUGCAAUCAAGAUCAAGGAACAAAGCACCUGGAUCCAUCACUCACAAGUGAAGAAAGCUCCUGAGAAACUCUGGAAAGUUAUAUUGGGUGACAAUAAACUAAAAUUAAAACUUUCUUGGAAAAAUAAAUGAUAAGUAUAAUAUAAUAAAUUUUUGAAAAAUAGAAAAACUUGUAAUUGUAAUGGGUAAUCAAAUAGGUAUAGCCUGGAAAGUUGUGGCAUUUAUGAUCAUUGCUAUAGCCAAAGCUAAUGCAGUACCACUGCAUUAUAAUGUGACUGGUAAAUAUAAGUGCCAAGGGAAAGCUUAUGAUUUUAUCUCCUGUAAGUCUCUGAUUCAGAUGCUAAAAGUUACAAAUGCAACUGUGUAGGAAAACUUAAUUUAACUUGUGCAUUUGUAACUUUGUCAAAGUUGAAGAAUGUGAUUUUUCCUAUUAGGCACAUGUUGCAUCCCACCAACAUAUAAAGGUAAACUUGACUACUGUUCAAGAAAUAUUGCCUGUGCCUAUAGAGAUGAACUUAACUUUAGUUGCACAAUUAUUGAAACAUCAUGGAUUAAAGAAAAAAAGAAAAAAAAAUAGAAAGAAAGAGAACUUUGAUUACAAUGCAUCAUGCCACAGAGACUAUACAGAAAGUAUUUAAAAGUUAGUAGAAGGCCCAUCCCAUCAUUGGUGGGAUGUGCUUUCUGGGUAGUCACCAGCUGCAACCAGUUUGCUCAAUACCUUGGUUUAUUUGAUUAUUGUUUUGUUUAAUUUAGUUGGUAUAAUUUUGAUUUUGUUUGUUAUAAUAUUUUUUUGGAAUUGGAAAAUGUUGAAGCGACUAGCAGCUUUAACUUUAACAUUAAGAGCAUAUAGUACAGUUUUAAAGGACCCCUACCACAGUUUUACUAGAUAAAGAAGAAUUUACAUAUUAGUAAAAUAAUUUACUAACUUUGAAGAAGGAGUGGGGAAAUGAAACAUGAUUUUAAAGAGUUAAGAUUUUAGCUAAGAGUUAGAAGCAAUUUAUAUUGCUCAAGAUGUAAGUUAGAUUAGUAAAUUGUAGGUUAAUGAUUAUUAGAUGCCUAAACUAGAGCUAACUGUUAUAUUAUGAGCUUGUUUAUAGAAAAAGUGGAGUAAAUGAACCGUCAUAAGAACAGAUUGAAACCACUAAGAACAAUGGCUAGCACCUGGACUUGGUAUUAAUCAGUCACGAAGCAGGGGACUUUGGAUCGUGCCAGAGGGUCACAGAGACCUGAUGAAGACUCUCCUGACUUCAUCCUUUGAGACCACUGACCCAAUUCGAGACCACCGACCCAGUUCAAGAGAAGAAUUGCGCACAUGUGAAGGACUAAUAGCCUCAUGUCAAUACAGAGCGGGGAUGGGAGGUGCUGGGGUUAUGCAUAUGUAUUGUAUGUAAGAUCUUAGAAAAUAAAUAGAGAGCAAA